GUAGGGAAUAUUGGGCAAUGGACGAGAGUCUGACCCAGCCAUGCCGCGUGCAGGAAGAAGGCCUAUUGGGUUGUAAACUGCUUUUAUCUGGGAAGAAAAGGCCCAUGCGUGGGACAUUGCCGGUACCAGAUGAAUAAGCACCGGCUAACUCCGUGCCAGCAGCCGCGGUAAUACGGAGGGUGCAAGCGUUGUCCGGAUUUAUUGGGUUUAAAGGGUGCGUAGGCGGCUAUUUAAGUCAGCGGUGAAAGACUCCGGCUCAACCGGAGCAGUGCCAUUGAUACUGGAUAGCUUGAGUGUUGGAGGGGUACAUGGAAUUGAUGGUGUAGCGGUGAAAUGCAUAGAUACCAUCAGGAACACCGAUAGCGAAGGCAUUGUACUGGCCAACAACUGACGCUGAGGCACGAAAGCAUGGGGAGCGAACAGGAUUAGAAACCCUUGUAGUCC
rnacentral:rRNA from 1 species